UACGUAGGGUGCAAGCGUUAAUCGGAAUUACUGGGCGUAAAGCGUGCGCAGGCGGUGAUGUAAGACAGAUGUGAAAUCCCCGGGCUCAACCUGGGAAUGGCAUUUGGGACUGCAAGGCUAGAGUGUGGCAGAGGAGACUGGAAUUCCCGGGUGUAGCAGUGAAAUGCGUAGAUAUCGGGAGGAAUACCGAUGGCGAAGGCAGGUCUCUGGGCUGACACUGACGCUCAUGCACGAAAGCGUGGGGAGCAAACAGG
rnacentral:rRNA from 1 species